AGUGAACGCUGGCGGUAGGCCUAACACAUGCAAGUCGAGCGGCAGCACAGUAAGAGCUUGCUCUUACGGGUGGCGAGUGGCGGACGGGUGAGGAAUACAUCGGAAUCUGCUUCUUCGUGGGGGAUAACGUAGGGAAACUUACGCUAAUACCGCAUACGACCUACGGGUGAAAGCAGGGGAUCUUCGGACCUUGCGCGAUUGAAUGAGCCGAUGUCGGAUUAGCUAGUUGGCGGGGUAAAGGCCCACCAAGGCGACGAUCCGUAGCUGGUCUGAGAGGAUGAUCAGCCACACUGGAACUGAGACACGGUCCAGACUCCUACGGGAGGCAGCAGUGGGGAAUAUUGGACAAUGGGCGCAAGCCUGAUCCAGCCAUACCGCGUGGGUGAAGAAGGCCUUCGGGUUGUAAAGCCCUUUUGUUGGGAAAGAAAAGCAGCAGGUUAAUACCCCGCUGUUCUGACGGUACCCAAAGAAUAAGCACCGGCUAACUUCGUG
rnacentral:rRNA from 1 species